rnacentral:rRNA from 1 species
CCUACGGGUGGCAGCAGUGGGGAAUAUUGGGCAAUGGGCGCAAGCCUGACCCAGCAACGCCGCGUGAAGGAAGAAGGCUUUCGGGUUGUAAACUUCUUUUUAGAGGGAAGUGCAGAAGACGGUACCUCUUGAAUAAGCCAUGGCUAACUACGUGCCAGCAGCCGCGGUAAUACGGAGGUGGCAGGCGUUGUCCGGAUUUACUGGGUGUAAAGGGAGUGUAGCCGGGCUGACAAGUCAGUUGUGAAAUUCAGGGGCUCAACCCCGGACCUGCAUUUGAAACUGUUGGUCUUGAGUAUCGUAGAGGCAGGCGGAAUUCCUAGUGUAGCGGUGAAAGGCGUAGAUAUUAGGAGGAACACCAGUGGCGAAGGCAGCCUGCUGGACUACAACUGACAGUGAGGCGCGAAAGCGUGGGGAGCAAACAGGAUUAGAUACCCGUGUAGUC